UACGUAGGGGGCAAGCGUUGUCCGGAAUCAUUGGGCGUAAAGCGCGUGUAGGCGGCUCGGUAAGUCUGCUGUGAAAGUCCAGGGCUCAACCCUGGGAUGCCGGUGGAUACUGUCGAGCUCGAGUCCGGGAGAGGGAUGUGGAAUUCCAGGUGUAGCGGUGAAAUGCGUAGAUAUCUGGAGGAACACCGGUGGCGAAGGCGGCAUCCUGGACCGGUAUUGACGCUGAGGCGCGAAAGCUAGGGGAGCAAACGGG
rnacentral:rRNA from 1 species